rnacentral:rRNA from 1 species
CUUCCUUCGGGAAGUGGAUUAGCGGCGGACGGGUGAGUAACACGUGGGUAACCUGCCUCAAAGUGGGGGAUAGCCUUCCGAAAGGAAGAUUAAUACCGCAUAAUAUGAGAGAAUCGCAUGAUUUUCUUAUCAAAGAUUUAUUGCUUUGAGAUGGACCCGCGGCGCAUUAGCUAGUUGGUAAGGUAACGGCUUACCAAGGCAACGAUGCGUAGCCGACCUGAGAGGGUGAUCGGC